AGGAACAGAGGCGGCUUCACCACUCGUCUCACAGCAUCCCACAGCCCGACUCUCCAAAAUAAAACCCCAAAACGAUGUGAAGAGAAAACACACAGACACUCGUCCACUGGCAGACAUGCACCCACAGGGCGGUACCAACCGAGUGAAGUCGGCUCCUCCACCUGCCACAAACUGAACUGGCGACAAACGUUUGUGCUCCUGAUAUUAAUAAAGGUUUAAAGGUCAAAAGUUCAACCAGACCCCCACACAUUACCUCAAUCCAAUAAAAGUUGGUGUAAAAUGUUUGUGCUGCAAUCAUCUUAAAGAUAUUAAUAAAAAAGUUCCCAGAGGUCAACCAGCCAAAUAUUGGUGUCAGUAAGCUCAAAGCUAAGUUUGUGCUGCAAAAUGUUUCAUUUGUGCUGCUUUUGUUUUAAAGAUGUUAAAGUUUAAAGGUCAAAAGUUCAACCAUCCCUCACACAUUACGAAAAUCUAACAAAGUUGGUGUAAAAUGUUUUUGUUUGUGCUGCUUUUGCUUUGACGAUAUUAAUGGAAGUUUAAAGGUCACAAGGUCAACCAGACCUCCACCCCCACAUUACCCAAAUGUAACCAUAUUGGUGUCUAACGUUUGCACAGAAAAAUGUAUUGUUUGUGCCGCUAUCAUUUUAGGAUAAUAAAGUUUCAAGAGGUCAGAGGUCAACCAUUUCCCCGCUCACAUUUACAAAUUCAAACAAACUUGGUGUCAAUCAACUUUGGUUGUGCAGCAAAUAUUUUCAUUUGUGGUGCUUUUGCUUUGACGAUAUUGAUAAAAAACAUCUGGAAACGUUUCUUAUCAAUAUCUUUAAAGUGACAGCGGCACAAAUGAAAAUGUUUGCUGCACAAACGUUUGACACCAAUUUUGUUAGAUUUGAAGAAGGUGGGAGGAGCCAACUUCACUCAGGUCACAAACACGCCAACAAAAGGAGACAGAAGAAGACAAGGCUGCAAUUUAAAGAUAACAGUUGAUUGAGAGACAACAGCUAAAGCAACAGGAAACAAGAAAACAGUGGAUGGUUCAGCUUUAAGACAGCAGUACUAAGGGCCACAACAGGACUAAUGUGACACAGUCGGUACCGUACCUUGCAAAAUAGUCCACACCUUCUGAGUUUUCCACAUUUCGUCUCACCACAACCACAAACUGGAACCGUUUACUGGGAUUUUAUGUGAUGGAUAAUUACAAAGUAGCUAAAGAU